UACGAAGGGGCUAGCGUUGUUCGGAAUCACUGGGCGUAAAGCGCACGUAGGCGGAUCUUUAAGUCAGGGGUGAAAUCCUGGAGCUCAACUCCAGAACUGCCUUUGAUACUGAGGAUCUUGAGUUCGGGGGAGGUGAGUGGAACGUGCGGAGUGUAGAGGUGAAAUUCGUAGAUAUUCGCAAGAACACCAGUGGCGAAGGCG
rnacentral:rRNA from 1 species